CGAUUACAGCGCCAACUAGCGUCCACAACUUUGUGAGCUCUGUCACAUUGACGUUUAGGCCGUAUAGUGGUGAAAAAAUAUCGAAAUGAAAAAAUAACAAAUAUUUUCGACUAAUAAAUUGUUGUGAUACCACGAUUUGGGUGGAAAAAAGGUGUUGAAAUUAUUUUGGUCAUUUAAAUCAAAUGAGAUCGAAAUGAGUAUUGUUUUGAAGACCGGGUUUGUGAGUGUUACUCACAAUAUCAAAUCCCAACCAAAAACUGAAAUUAAAGGAAAGUUGUUGGUAUUGCCUGGUCUAUGUCCGAAAUGUAGAAGAAUUAAGAACAAAAGAAGGGCAGAGUUCGAUAAUUCACGCUCUCAUCAUAAGGCAAACAUCUAUUACGUUGCCACCUUACAAAACGGUUUUAAACGUGAAUAGAGCACGAGUAGUCACUAGUGUUAAAUGUAAUUGUGUUUAUCAUCAAAGUGGUAAAUGGUUUCAUUGGUAAUGUAUAUUAGCGGACUAAUGCGAUUAAAUAAUGAAAUUAAAAUGUAUUUAUGUAGAAUCAUUUUGCAAUUGACAGAUACAUCUGAUGACAGACCUUACAUUAUUUCUACUUUUGACCACCAUGAGCGCUGCAAUAGAUUAUGUUACCCCCACCUAAUACUUCGCACCGCCAUGCCACAGCGAAUACCCAUAACCCAUCAUAGGUGAAUGAUGAUGUAAUAGAGAUAGUGGUUUAAUUAAUAUGCAGGAUGUAUUUAAAUAAAAUAAAACAAAAUUUAAA